CCGGCGCACGGUGAGUACGCGUAUGCAACUUGCCUAUCAGGAGGGGGAGAACCGGCGAAAGUCGGACUAAUACCGCAUAAAGCAGGGAUCCCGCAUGGGAAUAUUUGCUAAAGAUUCAUCGCUGAUAGAUAGGCAUGCGUUCCAUUAGGCAGUUGGCGGGGUAACGGCCCACCAAACCGACGAUGGAUAGGGGUUCUGAGAGGAAGGUCCCCCACAUUGGUACUGAGACACGGUCCAA
rnacentral:rRNA from 1 species